rnacentral:rRNA from 1 species
UAGGGGGCAGCAAUGUCACCGGCGCACGGGUGCGUAACACGUAUGCAACCUACCUUCUACAGGGGUACAGCCUUCCGAAAGGGAGAUUAAUACCGCAUGAGACCACACUUAUUCAUAUAAGAGAGGUUAAAGAUUUAUCGGUAGAAGAUGGGCAUGCGUCUGAUUAGUUAGUUGGCGGGGUAACGGCUCACCAAGACGAUGAUCAGUAGGGGAUCUGAGAGGAUUAUCCCCCACACUGGCACUGAGAUACGGGCCAGACUCCUACGGGAGGCAGCAGUAGGGAAUAUUGGGCAAUGGGCGCAAGCCUGACCCAGCCAUGCCGCGUGCAGGAAGAAGGCGUUAUGCGUUGUAAACUGCUUUUAUACAGGAAGAAAAAGGCCAUGCGUGGCAAACUGACGGUACUGUAUGAAUAAGCACCGGCUAACUCCGUGCCAGCAGCCGCGGUAAUACGGAGGGUGCAAGCGUUGUCCGGAUUUAUUGGGUUUAAAGGGUGCGUAGGCGGCUUUUUAAGUCAGCGGUGAAAGACUGUCGCUCAACGACGGAACUGCCGUUGAUACUGGGAAACUUGAGUAUGAUUGAGGUAGCCGGAAUGGAUAGUGUAGCGGUGAAAUGCAUAGAUAUUAUCCAGAACGCCAAUAGCGUAGGCAGGUUACUAAGUCAUUACUGACGCUGAGGCACGAAAGUGCGGGGAUCAAACAGGAUUAGAUACCCUGGUAGUCCGCACUGUAAACGAUGAUUACUAGCUGUCGGGCUUUCGGGUUCGGUGGCACAGGGAAACCGUUAAGUAAUCCACCUGGGGAGUACGCCGGCAACGGUG